rnacentral:misc_RNA from 1 species
CAACCCUCAAGCCCCAGCGGCUUGGUGUUGGGGACCGGCGACCUCGCUGCACCUGGUGCAAGCGUCCGCCGCCCCCGAAAUGAAUUGGCGGCCUCGUAGCGGCCUCCUCUGCGUAGUAGCACAACCUCGCAACAGGAGCGCGACGCGGCCACUGCCGUAAAACGCCCAACUUUUUUAG